CUUUCAGGAUCUGACAAAUUUUAGAAGAAAAAAAAAACUGGACUUACUAUUAGGGAGAAUUCAUUGAACACAUCUGACAGCACUGUUUUCUAGUUCUCUUAGUUUAGACGAUGACAAGCCAUCAUGGCACGCGGUCGGAGGUGUGUUUUAAGUCAUAUAACAAAUUUAUCGUGAUAAUACAAACCAUGCCUUCUUUAUAUUAAUUCCUUUUUUUUAAUUUAGUUUAUACGUUUUUCUGCAUAAUUUUCUGUGUUUCAUUGAUUAAAACCAAAAAAAUAAAAAAAAUAAAAUAAACUAAAGACAAUGGUGAAAUUAACAGAAGAAAUGAUUGUGGCACGUACACGAAUGUCCGAUUUUUCUGCCGUAAAGAAGCUCAAUUGUUGGGGAUCAGAAUUAACAGAUGUAAGCAUUUUACGUGAAAUGGAAAAUGUGGAAGUAUUAUCAUUAAGUGUGAACAAUAUUGACACGCUUGCUGAUUUUCAAUAUUGCCACAAUUUGCGAGAUCUAUUUAUUAGAAAAAAUAAUAUUAAAGAUCUGAAUGAAGUUUGUUAUCUUCAAGAGUUACCCAAUUUAAGGAAUUUAUGGCUUGGCGAAAAUCCUUGUGCGGAAAAAGAAGGAUAUCGAUUGACUGUUCUUCGAGCUUUACCAAAUCUGGAAAAGCUAGAUGAUAAAGUAGUAGCCCCGGAAGAAGUGCAAACUGCAUUGUCAAGAGGCCGAGUACUUGUACAUCCGCUUGAUAUGGAUGCAUCUCCACCACAAUCAGAAAUGAUUAGUCCAGAGGAAGUACCUGUUGAGUAUAUUGAAGAAACACGUGUGGAAAAACAUAGGAGAUAUAGUUCAUCUAGCGACCAGAGAAGUUAUGAUGAAAUGCAUCACACACAAGAGGAGUAUCAUGAUCCUGACAGAAGAAAUGCUAAUUGUAAAACAUUACCUCAUCAUUAUGCUCAAAGCAAUCAGUAUACAUAUGAGCUCCAUAAUGGGCAAUCAAAAAGUCAGAAUAAAGAUGAGAACAUGUGUACAGAAUCACGCAGUUACAUUGAGACUGUGGCUACUAACACUAUUGAUAUACCUAAGGAUACUGAUGAUCAACCAGCAGUUUCAAGACAUAAUGGAGAUUAUGACGAGAGACGAGCUUAUUCUGAAUAUGUUAAUAAUGAUGCAUCCCAACGUUCAUACACAUCGCCUUCACCACGUACUCAAUAUGGCGUUAAAUACGAAACUCAAGAUGAUAAUCGCUUUGACAGGAAUAAUUAUGAGUAUGACGAUAAGAGGCAGAUAGAAUGCGAUGAACCAUUACCUCAACCAUCAUCUCAACAUAGACGAAUGCCUACUCAUCAUAAUACUGAAAGGGAAGAUACAAGUCAAGUGCCUGGUUGGGUAAGACAUUCCGAUAAAGAGAAAUGUAGACCACAGUUUCACUAUCAUAGGCGGCCAGUUACAAGGAACUCAAAUAUACUCUCUGCCGUAUUAUGCCUAGUCAAAGAAUUGGACUAUCCCAGUUUGGAAGUAGUAGAAAUGGCAGUUAGAAAUCGAAUGGAUGAAUUAGAAGAAUGAUGUUUCUGACGCCGUCCCCAAAAUCUUCAGGGGACGGUUGCCUUUUCUCGUGUUGGCAGUAUUUCCUCUAUUCCAAGUCCAGAAUUUUCUGACUCACUUGACUCUAAUCAGUGCAUCGAUAAUGAUAUGAAUUUUAACAUCGAACAUCGUAUAUGCAAUCAUUAUGGGAUAGAUGAAACUAGUGAAAAAUCACAAAUGCAGAGAAAUGAAUCUACCGAAAACUGUAAUUUAAAUCGAAAUCCAAAAACUUUCGUUACCGAUUCAAAUCUUAGGUAUAUUAAAAAUAAUCCACAUACAUACAAACUUCGGGACUCUGGAUCAGAUAAUUUGACAACAACAAUUAACAGUGAACCAAAAAGAUCGAAUGACGUUAGAAGAGUAGCAAGCAGUGACAGUAUCCCCCGUAGUAACAAUAGUGGUGUAUAUUUCAAUCAAGGAAGUAAAGAUCCAAAUCAAGAUUGUAUAAGACGAUCGAAAAGUCCUGACGUUAGAAACACGAUAAUGCCACUUCGUUACAUUCAAUCAUCAAAAGGAACUUGGACGUACAACUUAGACAGGUCAUACAAUUAAUGAAGAUAAGAAUAAAAGGGUACUUAAUUAACUAUUACUUCUAAAUUACAAAGUAAAUCAUUGUAAUAUGUGCAUGAUGGUGCAUUAUAUGUUCCCUUUAUAACUUAAGGAAACAUUGUUCCAGAACAACAGUAUUUAUUGUACUUAUCAAAUGUUUAUUAUUAAAAAUUAUAAAAUGGACAAAUUCUUUCAAUAAUAUCAAUUAAUCAUAUUUUAGAUUAGAAGAUUUUAGUAUACACGUACAAAGUUUUUAAAUAAUUUUGUUAUCAUUAUAGCAAGAUCGAUUAAAUAGGUUUCAUGUUAGUAUUAUAUACUAUCAAAAAAGAAAAAAAAUGGCAAUAGAAUAGAAUAUCUUCAUAAAAUACAAAUAUCAAUAUUGAUAGUAGAGUAAAGAAAAAUUUUGUUCUGUAAAUGAUGUUUCCCUAGAUCAAAAAGCAUAAAAGGUGCAGCUUAUAUAUGUGAUAGUUAAAAAGUUAGCAAAUGCAACAAAUUCAAGACUUUGUAUAAAAUGUUAAGAUUUUCCAUGCAUGUGUGCAGUAUAUAUAUAUAAUAUAUAUAUAUAUAUAUAUAUAUAAUAUAUAUAAAUAAAUAUAUAUAUAUAUAUAUUUAUAUAUAUAUAUUUAUAUAUAUAUAUAAAAAUCUGGUAAAGAUAAUUAUUGGCAGAAAAAUUAAAUGUCUAUAUUUGCAAUGCCUAACUGUAGAAAAGCUUCCAUAUAUAUAUUCUCUAUUUUAAUAUGUAUAAAAAUCAGUUAGUAUAAAAAACUAAUCAUAGUAAAGAUUAUAAAUAUCAAAAAUCGUAAUAUUAUGAGCAGAUGAGAUUCAAUGCUUAUUAAUAAUUCGAUAAAAAUAUAAAAAAUAGAUUUAUGAAUCCUGUAAAAAGAACUAUUUAAGAAUUAUAGUAAAGUGAUAUAUAAAAUUCCAAGACAAAGAAUAUAUUGGUGUUUAAAAAAAAAAAGACGCAUUAGACAUAAUUAACUAUAGACUGAUAUACAGAGGAGGUAUAAAUUUUAGGAAAACUAACUUAUAUUAUAUAUUAUUUAAUCAAAAAAUUAAAAAUUAAUCUUUCUAUAUAACCAAAAGAAACUUCAAUACGUAACAAGAAAUUAAUUAUUUAUGAUAUACAUAAAUAGUCCUAUAAGAAAUUUUUUAAAUGUAGUGCAAUAUUUUUCCUUACUCCCAGCCGUCCAGCUUAUAUCAUUAAAUAAUUUAAAUUCAUCAUUAUUAAUAUUUACGAAAUUACAAUUAUUAUUGUUGUUGUUAUCAUAAUUAUAAUUAUAACAGAUAAUGUUGUUAUUAUAUUAUCAUUAUCAUUUUAACUUCUGUUUCAAAAUCUACAUAAUUGUUUCAUAAUUUUUGUAUAAUGUAAUAAUCAAAAUAAGAUUGUAUUAUAUUACAUAAAUAUUUCAUGUAAAUGAAUUAUUUAAUCAUGUUGCAAAAUAUUAAUUUUGUUUCUACUUCAAAUUGUAAAUCCUAUGAGACUUCAUUUGUGUUACACAAUAAGGAAGCUACUAAAAAAGAAAAAAAAAAUACAUUUUGACGAUUAAUAAUAUUUUCUUAAUUAAGUUAACAUUUUUAAGUAUUAUAAGAUAUAUAUAUAUAUAUAUAUUUAAAAUUUCCAAUUUUAUAUUACAUCAAAGAAAAAAAAUUAUUAUGACAUAUUACUGUAAUAAUUUAUAAGAUCAAAUGUAAAAUUAUUUCAAUUCAUACAUAAACUUAUAUUCAUGUAUGCUUUUAGGCAUCUAAAUUGCACAAGGGUGCAAAUUGAUGGCUUGGAGAUAAAAUGAUUCAAGAUAUAUAAAUAAAAAGAAUAAAAAAAAAAAAUGUUUUAGACAAAACUUAUAUAAUUUUUAAAUCCAUAUAAAAUUAUACAAGUUUUAGUAUUAAUGUAAAAGUGAUAUUUACAUGAAUUACUGUUUUUUUAUUAAUCAUUCAAUAGUAAAUUGAUAAUAACAAAUACUUAAAAAAACAUCAAAUUAUAUAAUCAUAAUAUACAAUACAUUUAUUCUUUCACUACUUAUAAAUUCAUUAAGCCUAAAAUCAUUAGAAGACUAAUACUUUUGUACAUUAUAAUUAAGGAAAAGAUUUUAUAUUAAAAGUUUCAGUUGGUUUUAAUAAAUAUUCCGUGCGCAAACUUGCCUAGUUUAACUAACUUAACUAUUAUCCUUAACCUAAAUGAAUAUGUAAGAACAUUUUCAAAUUUUAUAAUAUUUAUUCUUUAUUCAUGUACCAUUGUUGUGUUGUUUAAAAUGAGAUAGACAGUUCAUAGGAUUUAAAAGAUUUAAUUGCAUUUGUAUACAUAAGAAAUAAAAAUUAUGUGUUUUUGUCUGAAA